rnacentral:rRNA from 1 species
CCUACGGGAGGCAGCAGUGAGGAAUAUUGGUCAAUGGACGAGAGUCUGAACCAGCCAAGUAGCGUGAAGGAUGACUGCCCUAUGGGUUGUAAACUUCUUUUAUAUGGGAAUAAAAUGUUCCACGUGUGGGAUUUUGUAUGUACCAUAUGAAUAAGGAUCGGCUAACUCCGUGCCAGCAGCCUCGGUAAUACGGAGGAUCCGAGCGUUAUCCGGAUUUAUUGGGUUUAAAGGGAGCGUAGGUGGAUUGUUAAGUCAGUUGUGAAAGUUUGCGUAUCAACCGUAAAAUUGCAGUUGAAACUGGCAGUCUUGAGUACAGUAGAGGUGGGCGGAAUUCGUGGUGUAGCGGUGAAAUGCUUAGAUAUCACGAAGAACUCCGAGUGCGAAGGCAGUUCACUGGACUGCAACUGACACUGAGGCUCGAAAGUGUGGGUAUCAAACAGGAUUAGAUACCCGUGUAGUC